AUACUAUGAACAUAUCUUGUAAUCAACAAUAUGCUAGUCAAGUAACUACUGUGGGAUGACAGCAAAUAGAAGAUAGAGGUGAAUAUUUUUCUGGUUCCCUAGUGGGGAGGGGCUUUUUUUCCAUCUAUAGAGGCAAAUAUAUAAAUCAAAAGAAAAGACUAGUAAGUCUAAAAUACUAGAAAUAAAAUUAAAGGCAAGUAAACAAAUAUGGAAAUAUUGGUUAUAUAUGUAUGUACAAAAGUAUAGCUAUCUUUAAUAUUUAAUAGACAUUUCACAAAACAGUACAAAUGGCCAAUAAUUUGAGAAAAAAAAUAUCGACUUCCCCAGCAUUCAAAGAAAUGAAAAGUAAAAAACAUGCUACUUUUCAUCUAUCUAUCUAUCUAUUUCAUAUAUAUACACACACAUAUAUAUAAAAGUUUCAGGUAAGAUGGUGCUGAUUUAUCAACAUGAAUAAAAAAACUUGAAACAUGAUCCAACCUGUGAUCCACUGCAAAGUAUUUAUCUUAGGGUAACAAUGUGAGGUACACAAAAACCUUCUGUAACAGAAUGUCUAUGGAUAUCAAUAACAGCAAAACCUUGGAAACAAUCUCAAUUUCCCAACCACAGGGAAAUAGUAAUACAAAUUACAGUGUAUCUAUCUACAAGACAAAGCACUAUGAAGACACUGAAAGUCAUAUUUUUGAAGACUAUUUAAUGUAUGGGAAUAUACAAUAAGACAACUGGUCAUUUUUUUUAAAGCACAGGAGAAAAGGAACAGAAAUAUAUAAAAAUUUUAAGAAACUUUCAAAACACUAUUUUUUCAUAGUAUAAAUACUCUACAAGGACUACUUUACACUGUUAAACUAUGGAUAAAAGCCUUUUAAAAAAAUGUCUUGUGUUGAAACUGCCUUCCCCCAAAAACAUGUUAUAAAGGAAUAUUAAGUUAAAAAAAAAUAGAACUUGGCCAGGUGUGAUGGCUCAAGCCUGUAAUCUCAGCACUAUGGGAGGCCGUGGCGAGCAGAUCACUUGAGGUCAGGAGUUCGAGACCAGCCUGGCCAACCUGGAGAAACCCCCUCUAUACAAAAAUUAGCUGGGUGGUGGUAUACACCUGUAAUCACAUCUACUCAGGAGGUUGGGGCAGGAGAAUCGCUUGAACCCGAGAGGCAGAAGCUGCAGUCAGUGAGCCAGGACUGUGCCACUGCACUCCAGCCUGGGUGACAGAGCAAGACUCUGUCUCCAAAAAAAAAAAAAAAAGGAACUUGACUAUGAAGUUUAAUGUUAAUGUCAGAUGAGUCACAAGCAAUUUUUAAAAUCUGAGCUUCCCUAAAUUAGUGCUGUACAACUUUAAAAUAUAGUACAGAAUUCAUAUUAAAUACAGCACAUCAAGAAGUUAUAAAAUAUUCUAAUGAAUAAACAUUAGAAUGCUCUGUAACAUAUUAAACCCUUAGUAAUGAAUGUUUCCAGUUGUUAAUGGAAAAUCAAAUGGAAAACAUGAAAAAAGGAGUUAUUAAGUAACAUUUUGUAUUUGUCAUACAGAAAAUUCACCAAUUAUGGACGUUUCUCCAAAAACGUGUCAAGAGAAAGAGAAAAACAAAAAUGCAUGACUAUGAAUCUACCCAAGUCAGAAAUUCAAGGCCCUGUCUAAAGACACAUCCUGAAUCAAACCAUAUGAGAAAAAUUACAAGACAAGAACACAUUUCAAAAUGGAGGUAGAGGAAACAACACUUUUGGGUAAAGUACAACUGAUGAUUGUGCCAACAUGUGCUAACCCACAGCCCGCAACUGAGGCUGAUACUCCCUGGCAACACUCCAAUUACCACCUCUCAUCUGGCAAGCCCAGUAGUUCAGUUCCUCAACAUCAACGAGCUUGAUAUGAUUGCAGGGAAGUGGCGCCCCUACGUGCCCUGGAACACCGGAGCAAGAUGGCAUUUGUUAGUGUUCAGAUCUGUUUUAGCACUGAAGAUGUUCCAAGCCCCUUAAAAUCUCUGAGUGGCCAAAGUGGGGAAUUAUGGAUGGAAAGUAACACAUCUUUAAAGGGGCAUUUGUUACUGCAAGUGUUGGUAAUAAAACAAAGUGCUGGAGAAAGCAAAG
rnacentral:lncRNA from 1 species